AGAGUUUGAUCCUGGCUCAGGGCGAACGCUGGCGGCGUACUUAACACAUGCAAGUCGAACGAGGAUCAUCAGUGUAGCAAUACAUUGGUGGUCCUAGUGGCGCACGGGUGAGUAACACGUGGGUAACCUGCCCUUGAGCUCGGGAUACCCCCUCGAAAGGGGGGCUAAUACCGGAUACGUUCCUCGGAUCGACAGGUCUGGGGAGGAAAGGUGGCGCAAGCUGCCGCUCUUGGAGGGGCUCGCGGCCUAUCAGCUAGUUGGCGGGGUAACGGCCCACCAAGGCUAUGACGGGUAGCUGGUCUGAGAGGACGACCAGCCACACGGGGACUGAGACACGGCCCCGACUCCUACGGGAGGCAGCAGUGGGGAAUUUUCCGCAAUGGGCGAAAGCCUGACGGAGUGACGCCGCGUGUGGGACGAAGGCCUUCGGGUCGUAAACCACUGUCAGUGGGAAAGAAGGGUGUCGGUGCUAAUACCAUCGGCAUUUGACGGUACCUGCAGAGGAAGCCCCGGCCAACUCUGUGCCAGCAGCCGCGGUAAGACAGAGGGGGCAAGCGUUGCUCGGAAUUACUGGGCGUAAAGGGCGCGUAGGCGGGAUGGCAAGUCGGUCGUGAAAUCCUUCGGCUCAACCGAAGAACGUCGAUCGAUACUGCUGUUCUUGAGGGUUGCAGAGGAGACUGGAAUUCCCGGUGUAGCGGUGAAAUGUGUAGAGAUCGGGAGGAACACCGGUGGCGAAGGCGGGUCUCUGGGCAAUUCCUGACGCUGAGGCGCGAAAGCGUGGGGAGCAAACGGGAUUAGAUACCCCCGUAGUCC
rnacentral:rRNA from 1 species